rnacentral:rRNA from 1 species
GCAUUCGAUACUGGUUAGCUAGAGUAUGGGAGAGGAUGGUAGAAUUCCCAGGUGUAGCGGUGAAAUGCGUAGAGAUCUGGAGGAAUACCGAUGGCGAAGGCAGCCAUGUGGCCUAAUACUGACACUGAGGUGCGAAAGCAUGGGGAGCAAACAGGAUUAGAUACCCUGGUAGUCCAUGCCGUAAACGAUGUUUACUAGCCGUUGGGGCCCUUGAGGCUUUAGUGGCGCAGCUAACGCGAUAAGUAGACCGCCUGGGGAGUACGGUCGCAAGACUAAAACUCAAAUGAAUUGACGGGGGCCCGCACAAGCGGUGGAGCAUGUGGUUUAAUUCGAUGCAACGCGAAGAACCUUACCUGGCCUUGACAUACAGAGAACUUUCCAGAGAUGGAUUGGUGCCUUCGGGAACUCUGAUACAGGUGCUGCAUGGCUGUCGUCAGCUCGUGUCGUGAGAUGUUGGGUUAAGUCCCGCAACGAGCGCAACCCUUUUCCUUAUUUGCCAGCACUUCGGGUGGGAACUUUAAGGAUACUGCCAGUGACAAACUGGAGGAAGGCGGGGACGACGUCAAGUCAUCAUGGCCCUUACGGCCAGGGCUACACACGUGCUACAAUGGUCGGUACAAAGGGUUGCUACACAGCGAGCUGAUGCUAAUCUCAAAAAGCCGAUCGUAGUCCGGAUCGCAGUCUGCAACUCGACUGCGUGAAGUCGGAAUCGCUAGUAAUCGCGGAUCAGAAUGCCGCGGUGAAUACGUUCCCGGGCCUUGUACACACCGCCCGUCACACCAUGGGAGUUUGUUGCACCAGAAGUAGGUA